GUGGGGGAGGGACAAUGCUCGUUUGAGAUGAACUGGCCUCGCCUGUAAAGUGGACGAGAGUAGGCGGCAGCAGCCAGGGGCGGGGACA